UUGCUUAGAAACCAAAAUUUGACCAUUGUUGUGCUCCAAUGGUGGGUAGUUCUUGAAAUCAUAUGGGAUAAUUUUGCUCCUAUGGUUGAUGUAUUUAUAGAUUAAUGAUUAAACAGAAGAUCAAUUGCAGUGAAUAAAGGGAAGUAAGAAAAGGGUGCUUUGGUCAAGAUGUUGGCAAAGAGUGAUAGGUUUGUUGGGGUUAUUAUUGUGGCCCAUAUGAGCCUCCUGGUGAAUCAAAGGGAUCUGGCAACUCCGGACGAAUUGAUAAUGAAAUCGCUACUCCAGAAAAUUCAAGCGCUUCAAUUAGGAAAUGUAUCGGUUUGGAUCUUGUUAAUGGUCACACAUUUGGUGUCUCUAGACAAGUGAUUUCCCUGCCAAAUAUGUCGCAGUCUAAAAGAAAGGAUUUGAUACAUAGGUUGAGUCGUGAAUUAGAGCAGAUACGGAUGCUUCAGAAGAAAGUUGAAUUGCAAAGGACAAAUGGCAUUUCUGUGUCAACUUCUUUUGAUAUUCUUAGUUGCAGCAGCAAUGGACAAAAUUGACCUCAUGAACUGGAUUUUCAGAAAUCGUCCAUAUCUUUUUGUCUGGAGAACGGAAAUAAUCUUUCAAGUGAAAAGGCACGCAAGUCUAGUCGGGAUGUUUCAGGAAGAUUUGAGUCUGCAAAACAUGCAUCUGCAGCAAACACUACACAUAUUAUAUUGAUGAAACAGUGUGAAGGUCUUCUAAAGCGAUUGAUGAGCCAUCAGUAUGGGUGGGCCUUCAACAAACCAGUAGAUAUAGUGAAGCUGAAUAUUCCAGAUUACUUUUAAUGUUAUUAAGCACCCGAUGGAUCUAGGAAUAGUUAAAAAAGAAGAUAGCAUCUGGUGCAUAUGAUAGGCCCCUGGAGCUUCAUGCUGAUGUUAAGCUUCCUUUCAGCAAUGCAAUGCCCUAUAUCCCCCCUAAAAAUAAUGUCCAUGUUAUGACUGAUACCUUUAACAAGUUUUUUGAAGUGAGGUGGAAAAAUAUUGAGAAGAAGUUACCAUAACUGGUGCUCCUCUGGUGCAAAGUAAAGCUCUUGUCGAGGAUAUAAAAACAUCUAAGAAAAUGCCUCCUGUUAAAAAGAGGAAGACAACUUCAGUGACCCAAGAAGUUAUAUUGGGACCUGUGAAGAGAUUGACAGAUGAGGAAAAAAACAAUCUAGGUAGAGCACUGGAAUCUUUGCUUGCUGAAAUGCCUCUGCAUAUCAUUGAUUUCUGAAAGGAACGCGGUUCAAGUGGAACAGAACCUGGAGAAGAGAUUGAGAUCGAUAUUGACGGUGAUGAUACCUUGUUCACAUUGAGGAAGCUUUUAGAUGACUAUUUGCAAGAGAAACACAAAAACCAAUCAAGAGUUAAACCUUGUGAAAUUGAGAGAAUGACCUGGCUGAUGAGGGUGUUUACAUUGGGGGAAAUGAUCCUCCGGUGUCAAGCUGUCCUUUGGAGAUAGAGAAGGAUACAGGUAAUAGAAACUCAAAGUCUGUCAGUUCAGGAAGUAAUAGAGGUUCAGCGACUGGUUGUUUGUCUGGCAUUGAACCCAAUGGUGCUAAAGCUGCAAAUCUAGUGGAAGCGAUGAAAGUCUGUUAUGGUUCUAUUUGUAUGUGUUUAUGUUUGGUCCACUUCAAAUUUUUCUCUUGUAGUUUAAGGUGGGUUGAGUUUCUUUUCAAGUAGCAUUUUACUUUGUACUAUCCUUCAGGUAUUGUAAGCUGCAGAUUCUGGGGCUCAAUUGGAUGAAAAGAUGUGUGUUGAAAACCAUCUUGAUAGCACUAGGAAUAUUCUUGUACUUCUAUUCUUGC